rnacentral:rRNA from 1 species
CUCCGGUUGAUCCUGCCGGACCUGACUGCUAUCGGAUUGGUACUAAGCCAUGCGAGUCAUUGUAGCAAUACAAGGCGGACGGCUCAGUAACACGUAGUCAACCUAACUCGUGGACGUGGAUAACCUCGGGAAACUGAGAAUAAACCACGAUAGAUCAUAGUGCCUGGAAUGGCUUAUGGUCCAAACAGUUUACUGCCAUGGGAUGGGACUGCGGCCUAUCAGCUUGUUGGUGAGGUAAUGGCCCACCAAGGCGAUUACAGGUACGGGCUCUGAGAGGAGAAGCCCGGAGAUGGGUACUGAGACACGGACCCAGGCCCUAUGGGGCGCAGCAGGCGAGAAACCUUAGCAAUGUGCGAAAGCACGACUGGGUCAGUCCGAGUGAUUCCUGAUAAAGGAGUCUUUUGCUUGUCCUAAAAGCACAGGUGAAUAAGGGGUGGGCAAGUCUGGUGUCAGCCGCCGCGGUAAUACCAGCACCUCGAGUGGUCAGGACGUUUAUUGGGCCUAAAGCAUCCGUAGCCGGCUCUGCAAGUCUUCGGUUAAAUCCACCUGCUCAACAGAUGGGCUGCUGGAGAUACUACAGAGCUAGGGAGUGGGAGAGGCAGACGGUAUUCAGUGGGUAGGGGUAAAAUCCUCUGAUCCAUUGAGGACCACCAGUGGCGAAGGCGGUCCGCCAGAACGCGCUCGACGGUGAGGGAUGAAAGCUGGGGGAGCGAACCGGAUUAGAUACCCGGGUAGUCCCAGCCGUAAACGAUGCUAGCUAGAUGAUUCAUUCGCAAGUCGCGAAUGAAGUGUCGCAGGGAAGCCGUUAAGCUAGCCGCCUGGGGAGUACGGUCGCAAGGCUGAAUCGUAUGCAGAAAAUUCUGUAUGCGCAGUUCACUUAAAGGAAUUGGCGGGGGACCA